rnacentral:lncRNA from 1 species
GUCAAACCCUUGUUUUCAGCUUAAGAAAUUAUCGAUCUUACUGACUUAAUUAGCUACCCACAAGGAGCCAUGCUGCAACUUUUUUGCCAGGGAGACGGGGGUGAACGGUGAAGGCUGGAAAAGUUGAAAAUUAUCUUCGGCUGCGAUAUUAUAACCUAAUCAGGUGAUGGUGUGAUGGUUAACCCAUCACUUUGGAUAACGACCAAGCUAGGUUCAAAGUCAAUAUCAGAGUUCUUGGCCCAUGAUUAACUCGCUUUCUCUACGUUGACUCACCAUCUAAUACCAUCCCUUGUGUAUUUUUUUUUAGUUUAAUGUGGGUGUUCGGGUCAUCUUGUGUAUACCUCGACUAAUCCCACGGACCCCAAAAUUAACGACCAUGUAAGCCUCCAGUGAUCAUCAUAUGAGCAACCACAGGGCUCGAACCUGAGACCACAAAGAAAACAAACCUCUUGAUCCAAGCUCUUAUCACUGGACCACCAUCUAAAUGGUUACCAUCCCCCAUAUAUUGAUUUUACAGAAGUCAAACAUUUUUUUUAAAAAAGAAGUCACAGCAAAGAAAGGCAA